rnacentral:rRNA from 1 species
UACAGAGGUCCCGAGCGUUGUUCGGAUUCACUGGGCGUAAAGGGUGCGUAGGUGGUGAGGUAAGUCGGAUGUGAAAUCUCGGAGCUUAACUCCGAAACUGCAUUCGAUACUGCCGUGCUUGAGGACUGGAGAGGAGACUGGAAUUUACGGUGUAGCGGUGAAAUGCGUAGAUAUCGUAAGGAAGACCAGUGGCGAAGGCGGCCAGCUAGACCAGUUCUGACACUGAGGCGCGACAGCGUGGGGAGCAAACAGGGAU